CCUACGGGAGGCAGCAGUAAGGAAUAUUGGUCAAUGGACGAAAGUCUGAACCAGCCAUGCCGCGUGAAGGAUUAAGGCCCUCUGGGUUGUAAACUUCUUUUAUCUGGGACGAAAAAAGGGUAUUCUUACUCACUUGACGGUACCAGAGGAAUAAGCACCGGCUAACUCCGUGCCAGCAGCCGCGGUAAUACGGAGGGUGCAAGCGUUAUCCGGAUUUACUGGGUUUAAAGGGUGCGUAGGUGGGCUUGUAAGUCAGUGGUGAAAUCUCCGGGCUUAACCCGGAAACUGCCAUUGAUACUAUAGGUCUUGAAUUAUCUGGAGGUAAGCGGAAUAUGUCAUGUAGCGGUGAAAUGCUUAGAUAUGACAUAGAACACCAAUUGCGAAGGCAGCUUACUACGGAUACAUUGACACUGAGGCACGAAAGCGUGGGGAUCAAACAGGAUUAGAUACCCUGGUAGUCCACGCCCUAAACGAUGGAUACUCGACAUCAGCGAUACACUGUUGGUGUCUGAGACGAAGCUAAUUAAGUACUCCCACCGUAGGGAAGUACGAUCGACAAGAUUAGAAACUACAAAUAGAAAUUGACGCGUGAAGACGAGACGACGACGACGACGGAGGGAGGAGG
rnacentral:rRNA from 1 species